rnacentral:lncRNA from 1 species
GUGCAGUCUUAUGGUCUCCUCAAUUUCCAAGGGAGAAAAAAUAGACCCCAGCUUUUGAUGGACAAAUGGCUAGAUUCUGGGAGAACACGAUGGGCCAGGAAAAUUGAUGUCAUUUUUGGAAUCUGUAAGAGGAAAUUCUUAGCAGGACAAAAAGUAAGAUCAGUGUGGGUGCUUCCAUUCUGGAAUUUGGAACUCUGAAUUGGAAGCAAGGAAUCCUUGGAUACAUUCCAAAUUCUAAGACUUUAGAAUCUACCUUUGAACAAAUAUGUAAAAUUAUGUAUUAGUUAGUUAACCUAGCCCAUUGCUAGAAGAUUGAGCCAUUCUGAAGAUCAAAAUAGAUGAAAUAGCUUAUGGAAGGGAAGAGGAAGCCACACGGCCCCACAGUUAAGCACUUGGAUGUGCUUUCACUACGUCAGAGAAUCCCGUAUUGUGCCUUGUCGCCGGUGUUGUGGGAACACACAUAGAGAUCUUACAUGCCCGGGCCUACAUCACUUGGAAACCAUGUGUCAGCACACCCGCUUCCCAGAAGCUGAACCCACACGUGCUCGAGAGACCCAUCUGCUGCCCAUCAGCACAGCGUCAGUGAACUCAGGCCAGAAAUGACAUCAAUGUUAUUGGGCUUCACUCUCUGAGGAUGCAGCAAGGAAUGGAGAAAAGACGUCUGUGCCCUCCUAUAAAUACUCUCAGACUCUGGAUGUCUGCAAGAUAAACCGUUAACCGCCACUCAUGAGCAUAUGUGCUGAUCUCUCAGGGUGCUUGUGGUGAGUCAUUGCUGUGCACUGUGCCUUCCACAACCUCUACGUGGCACAAAGCAGGGCUUUGCUUUGUAGGCCAUUUAUAAAUACACAAUUGGGAAAAAUAAAAGCAACAAUGGCAACAGCAAAACAACCCCUUGGGCAUUGGUGGCGGCAAUAAAAAUUAAUCAUUUCAUAAUGGGUUAUUAGGUUUCUAAUUAAUAUAAAACUUAAUAGGCACUAUUUUCUCCUUGAAUCAAUAAGCAUCAUGAUAAAAAGACAAAAUGUGCUACAUGCUUUUUUUUUUACUGUACACACACAGCUGAAAGAACACACGGCAACUUCUCAUGGGUGACGGGGAAUAUGACAGAUGUGUUCAUUAAACAAGCACCUGUUUACACAUCUGUAUCAAGGCAUGUUAUGUAUUUUGAAUAACAUGUACUUAGAUGAAAAUCAUUGCCUUUAUGAAUAAAUAAAUUUUCCAGUCACAAUUUAUGGCCUGUCCAAAGUACUCAGUGUAGUAAAGUGCAUUGGCUCUGUAUACCGGCCAAGGUGAGGGUUAGAUGGGUGGGUUCACUCAAAGGCUCUGCUGGUGUCUCCUGCUGUGAACUCCGACACAGUAGCCAACCUCCCUGAGCAUCAGCCAUUGCUUCUGUCUAAGGCUGUGUAUUAAACAGGUGCUAUAGGUGGUAUAGAGUCACACUAGUAUGUACGAUCAGUGCUAAGAGGUUACAAGCAAUGGAAGAGAUAAGAUGAACCGAGACUUCCUCAUGGUGGCUGACAUGGAAUACUUUCAUCACACAAGCGUACAUACAGUCUGUGAAGGCUGUUUUCUUCCCUUUCCUACUGGUCAGUGCAUUACUUUGGGCUCACUAGAAGAGAAAAAUUAGUAUUUAUUUAUUUGUACAAGAGAUUUUUAAGGUAGGCUUACAGCAUAAAAGGGAAGAGUCCUAUUGGUACUUCAUGGGAUCAGAGGCGGAGAAUAUAUAAAAUGGCCAUCUAUGCUCUAGAGAACCAGAACACUCUGUAGCAGUCCAGAGUCAAAGGCCUGAAAACCUACUGCAGAACCCGUCUAAGAUUCUGU